rnacentral:rRNA from 1 species
GAUGAACGCUGGCGGCGUGCCUAAUACAUGCAAGUCGAGCGAACAGAUGAGGAGCUUGCUCCUCUGACGUUAGCGGCGGACGGGUGAGUAACACGUGGAUAACCUACCUAUAAGACUGGGAUAACUUCGGGAAACCGGAGCUAAUACCGGAUAAUAUAUUGAACCGCAUGGUUCAAUAGUGAAAGACGGUUUUGCUGUCACUUAUAGAUGGAUCCGCGCCGCAUUAGCUAGUUGGUAAGGUAACGGCUUACCAAGGCAACGAUGCGUAGCCGACCUGAGAGGGUGAUCGGCCACACUGGAGCUGAGACACGGUCCAGACUCCUACGGGAGGCAGCUGUAGGGAAUCUUCCGCAAUGGGCGAAAGCCUUACGGAGCAACGCCGCGUGAGUGAUGAAGGUCUUCGGAUCGUAAAACUCUGUUAUUAGGGAAGAACAAAUGUGUAAGUAACUAUGCACGUCUUGACGGUACCUAAUCAGAAAGCCACGGCUAACUACGUG